CCAGGGUCAUCUGGGACUGCCUCCUGGAGGAAUUCAGGUGUGUGAAGGCUACCUGUGUCCUGCGUAACUUCAUGAGGAUGGACACGAGGACCAGGAGGGGAUCUACAGCUCGCCGCCGUGUCCCAGAGGAGGAGUCUGCUGCUCUGCAGGAUGUUUCAAGGAUGGGGUCCAACAACGCAGCAAGAGAGGCAAUCCGUGUGCAGGAGAUCUUCACCUCCUACUUCUUCAAAGAGGCAUAAAGUACUCUGCAGCCACUUAGUGUGGUGUGGACACCAGGUUAUAUCAGCUGUGUCGGUGAACCCCUCCUACAUCUGAACUGGCUACAUAGAGGUCACAGCGUGGUCAGAGAUAUGUUUUGAUGUGAGAGGAUGCCAACCCCCAGUCCCAUCAUCGCCACCUCACCUGCUUUUAAGAUGACCUUUGUGCCGACUAGAGACACUGUUAUGUAAUUGUGAUGAACUGAGAGAAUAUUUAGGUAGCACUGUGAUUCAUUAAUCAUGUGCUGCCUUCCCUGCUCCUAUGUGUUUACCUCUUUCCCUUUCUGUCUUUUACACCUCUCCCACCACCACCUCUUUCUUCCUCUGUUUUUAUAAUGCACAACAGAUGUGCAUUGAAGGACAGAUUGAACUUGUAUUUAUAACACUUGGAUAAUGAGCUUUUCAAUCAAGCGUUUCACAUUCUC